GGUGAACGCUGGCGGCGUGCCUAAGACAUGCAAGUCGAGCGGGCCGCGGGGUUUUACUCCGUGGUCAGCGGCGGACGGGUGAGUAACGCGUGGGUGACCUACCCGGAAGAGGGGGACAACCCGGGGAAACUCGGGCUAAUCCCCCAUGUGGACCCGCCCCUUGGGGUGUGUCCAAAGGGCUUUGCCCGCUUCCGGAUGGGCCCGCGUCCCAUCAGCUAGUUGGUGGGGUAAUGGCCCACCAAGGCGACGACGGGUAGCCGGCCUGAGAGGGUGGCCGGCCAGAGGGGCACUGAGACACGGGCCCCACUCCUACGGGAGGCAGCAGUUAGGAAUCUUCCGCAAUGGGCGCAAGCCUGACGGAGAGACGCCGCUUGGAGGAAGAAGCCCUUCGGGGUGUAAACUCCUGAACCCGGGACGAAACCCCCGACGAGGGAACUGACGGUACCGGGGUAAUAGCGCCGGCCAACUCCGUG
rnacentral:rRNA from 1 species